AGCGGCAAGAGCUCAAAUUUGAAAUCUGGCCCCUGUUUUCGGGGGUCCGAGUUGUAAUUUGGAGAGGAUGCUUCGGGCACGGUCCCGGUCUAAGUGCCCUGGAACGGGCUGUCCGAGAGGGUGAGAAUCCCGUCUGGGACCGGUGACCGCCGUCUGGGUGAAGCUCCCUCGACGAGUCGAGUUGUUUGGGAAUGCAGCUCCAAGUGGGUGGUAAAUUUCAUCUAAAGCUAAAUAUGGGCCGGAGACCGAUAGCGCACAAGUAGAGUGAUCGAAAGAUGAAAAGCACUUUGGAAAGAGAGUCAAAUAGCACGUGAAAUUGUUGAAAGGGAAGCGCUUGCGGUCAGACUCGCCCGGGGAGGCUCAGGUGGCACUUGUGGCCGCUGCACUCCUGCCUGGGUGGGCCAGCGUCGGUUUGGAUGGCCCGUUAAAGGCCCCCGGAAGGUAGCGCCCCUUGGGGCGUCUUAUAGCCGGGGGUGCCAUGCGGCCAGUCCAGACCGAGGAACGC
rnacentral:rRNA from 1 species